AGAGUAGGGAAGGAAAGGUAGAAUGAAUGUAGGGGUGGGGGAGGGAAAAGGAGAGAGAGAGAAAGAGAGAGAGAGAGUUCUGAGGACUGAGGGAUGCACAAGUCUGAUGGGAUGGAGUUAGGGCCAGAGGGUACCUGGCAUCUAAGAGUUACUCAAUGGAGUUAUUUUUAUCUUUUCAUGAAAAAAGUAUCACCGCUGUGACCUCUUGGAGGUUCACGGUUUCUUGGACCUAGGCCAUAUGUGGAUUCUGGGGCGGGCAAGAGCAGGAGAGCAAAGUGAGCCCACCAAGGGUGCUGAGAGGAUGGAUGUGAGUGGGAACCAAGGCGGGAGGAACAGCGGAGGCAGGCUGCUCUGCAGAGGGCUCUCUGGGACAGGAAUUCCCCAGAGGGACCCUGGAGGCCUUGACGCGUGACCAGCACUGAGGAAGAGCUCAACCCUUUGGAAGCCAGCUGUGGGAGAACCUUCACGAAUGUACACGUCUCCGUGACGAUGACUGACCAAACCCUUUGAGAACCGUCUGAAUAGACGUACUACAGUAGCCAGGAUGCCUUACAUGAUGUGAUGACCAUCCACUACCCACUGGAGAGUGGUCAACCUACCAUAAAUCACACCCCUAAAGGAAAUGGACUCUUCCAGAAGCUACCUGCUGCCAGCAGCUCCUCAGUGUGUGUGGGGUGGGGCCUUGUGCCUCCUUUCCUUACCGUGCUGGGGUUCGGUAUGGCAUGAGCUGAGACAGGUCUUAUGCAUGCUGUCAUAACUGCUGUUGCUGCCCACCUUUGAUUCGUAUGUACAACUCAUACGUGGUUUACCGACCGCCACCUGUUGCUGGCCCUGGAGAUGUGCUGCUUCAGUUUCGACCUGUGCAUCACCCCCGACGAUGUAGGGAAAGCAAGAAACGAUGGGACGUUAAGCUGCACUAUCCGAGGACCAGCGCUGGAGGCCUUCACACAAACGCCUGGAAGGCCUCUAGAUCGACUGCAUGGCUGUCUCAGCGGCAUCUCCCCCAUCUCCAGAAGCAAUUGUAUGCCAGUGCACAGGGGCUGUAGGAAGGAUCAAUGCAAAGUGAAGGGGGAGGGGGAGAUAUGUGUCAGCAGAGGUGGGUCUCCCACGAGAAAACACCGAGCAGAAAGCCGUCUGAAGCUGAAGGAGCCAGACUUACCUGGUGAUGCUCAAGACACUUGCCACAAAAGAUGAAUGAAUGAGACGGGAAGGGCCAUCUUUCGCAUAAGAAUAUUACUAGAUGGUGGUUUGUGUUUCUGUUAGAAACACUUGGGUAGGCAAACCUCUCCAGUCUGUUUCUUAAGUUUUUGUUAAUGUUUCAUGGUAGAAAUGUUAUGUUUUCAAAAUGUCCGUGUGACUUCCUACUUAAUGUUGGUAAAAAGUAUCUAGCCGUGUUUUCACAGUAAUUUUGUUUCUGUUGUUUUUACUUUAAAUAGACAGAUAUAGAAGAAACCCAAAGUAGAACAAAUUUUACUAAUGAGUUUAAGCUAGCUUAAAUCUCAAAACAGUUGUGUCUCGUGAAAUGAGAUGCAAUUAACUCCGUGCUGUCAUGCAAUCUGUCAUUGCAUAACAGGAAUGUGUUUCCGUUGUUUCAGUCAUUAGGUGCUGCUUAGCACUACCGUCAGUGUCCUGAGUGAGGUACUCAGGCAGAUGGAAGAGUCAGGCUCAACAUACGUGUGCACGCCUGUGCUCUCUCUCUCUCAAACGCUUACGAGGGCCCAGCAGAAAGUGAGAUUGAAAGUUGGUGGUGCAUGCCUGCAAUCCCAGCCCUUGGGGGAGAGGAGACACUCAAGGAUAUCUUGGGCUACAGUGUGUUCUAGACCAGCCUGGGCCACUUGAAACCUUGUCUCAAACCACAAUAGUAACAACAACAGCUACGAAAAGCAAACCAGAAGUCAGAAACUACCCAAACCAAAGAAGGAACAGCGUGAUAGGACCCCCCUGCUCCCCAGGGCUGGAGAUGAGCCCAGGGCUUCACACAUGCUAGGCAAGGCGCCACCGCUGAGCCCAGUGUGCAUACUUUCCUACAGUUCUUAGAGGCAAUCUAUUUUGGUGUCACAGGAGGACAGAACAGGCUUUUAUACAGGACUAGAGAAACCCUAUUUAUACAAAGCUAAAAAGAGCCAUGUUUCUAUAAAGUCCAUGUGCUUCUAGGUCCAGAUGCCCAGGACCCAGUUCUCAGCAUCAAAGACAAGACAAGAAGUGACUGAGGUGAGAGUCACAGACUCACCAUUUCAUCUCAUCCCAGCAGGAGCUUGGGCUGUUUGAGAGAAUGAGUUUGUGCAUGGAAAAGAUAUAAGCUGUACGUGUUUGUGGGUCUGGGGAAAGUGAACCUCCACUAUGGAGAGGAAUAUAUGUGAUGGAAACAGAUGCUGGCCGCAGCAUCUCCCCCCAUGUUAUUUGUAAGGAGGAAAGUGUAGCAGGAGGAAGAGGGGAGUCAAACACGGUGAAAUUCACUGUGUUGUGAAUUCUAAAAGUUGGUUUCUGUUUCUAUAUUGUAUUGUAUUUAUUUUGCAUUAGUUUUAAAAUUAUUAAACAAAACGUAAACAGGCAUCACAUAAAAGACACUCAAGCUUAAAAGGUAUCUAUUUAAUUAUUUGUGUGUGUGUGUUUGUGUGUGUGUGUGUGUGUGUGUGUGUGUGCCACAGUGUGUGUGUCAAAUGACAACUUGUCAGGGUCAGUUCUCCCCUUUCACCAUGUGGCAUCCAGGGAUUGAACUCAGGUUGUCAGGCUAAGUGGCAAGUACCUUUACCCCCUGAGCAAUCCCUCUCACCCAAGAAUUGCUCUUCUCGAUGCAGGAAUUUCACUGUGCUUCCCAGGCUGAUCUUGAACUUAUGGUGGGCUCAAGUGACCUUUCUGUCUGGUGCCCUGAGCUUGUAGGUUUUGAGUUUAGCUACUGAGCUAUGCUUCCAGUCUAGUAGAAAGGAAUGACAUCCACGUACUAUAAUACAGUCCUGCUUGAACAUUACAAAUGCUCAGGUCCAAAGACAGACAGACAGAUAGACGGACAAAAAGACAAGGUUGCUUAUAUCCUUUGGGCUUAAUUUGCUGUUGGUCAUAUAUGUCAAGAAAGUAAUCCAUUUCUAUUAAUAUUAUUAUUAUUAAUUUGUUUUUUGAGACAGAGCCUCUUUAUGUAACUGGCUGUUUUGGAACUCACUAUGUAGGUUGGCUUUCAACUCCCCUGCCUCUGUCUCCUAAAUUCUGGGAUUAAAAGCAUGCAUCACCAUAUCUGGCCAGCCAUUUCUUUUAAGUGUUUUUUUAAUUUAUUGGAAUAUAGAUUUUUAAAAAAUAUUUUCUGAUGACCCUCUGCAGGUCGUUGGUAUCUGUUGUAACGUAUUUUAUCUCUAAUUUUAUUUAUUUAUUAAACUAUUUUAAAGUUUA